rnacentral:lncRNA from 9 species
UUUUUUUUUUUUUUUUUUUUUUUUUUAAGACGAGGACUCGGGGAUGAGGGGCAGAAGUUUGUAAAGGCCAAGCCACCCUCCCUCCAUAAGCCCCGGCCCUCCCUGGCCCUAGGCCCAAGCCCCCAAAGGGUGGGGCCUCCCGAGGCUGCCAGCGGUUCUCCUCGUCGAGUCUAUCAGAGGUGGCAACGGCUGUCCCCCAGCUCCAGACCUCAGAGCCAUCUGUGUGUGACUCCUCCUCCCGCCUCACCCUCCCCAGCCAAUCAGUCACCAAGUCCUCCCAAUUCGGCCUCCCGGGCUGUGGCAGCUUCCAAACUUCACUUCUACCUGAGGAGACAGCCAGUCCCCUUGGUCCUUUCACCAGGCUCAGACCUCCUGUGACACUGCCACCCAGCCCCUCGGCCAGGAUGAAUCCAGGCUGGCUCUGCCCUCAGGGAGCACCCAGGCCCCAGGGGAAGGACGCACAAAAACAAUCACCCGCCAGUGUUUGCCUUCCUCCAGGAAACAUUUUCCAAUUCAGUAAAGAGUGGUUAAGGACCUACUAUCAGAUGCUGUCCUGGUUGGCUGGAAACACAGCCGUGGGAAAAUUGGACACAGUGCCUGUCCUCCCGGAGUUUCCAAUCUGGCAUCAGAUGUCAAGGCUGUGAGCAACGGGAGGACAGGGCCCACGCAGGCCAUUUGUGUUCAAGCCCCAAGCUCAGUGCCUGGUAGACAGCAGAGCACGAUACAUAUGUGUACUGGGAAUUCGCUGGAAUUAUACAGGGGGAGGGGGCGGAGAUGACACAGAGGAGGCCACUUUUUUUAUCAGGGAGAGGGAGCAGCUCUUCAGAAAUUAGGUCUGGGAUGAGCUGGGUUGGGAAGAAGGGAGCGUUUCCGGUUUCCAGGAGAACAGGGGUGAUGAGUAUCACCCCAUUGUUGAGAAGUUCAGUGAAAUGAUAAAUUAAUAAGAGAGGAGGCACAUCUCUUGUGCAGAAGAAUCUGAAAUGAUUUAUGCAGAUAGUCAAGGAGGUAGAGCAUAACUCCCCACUCUUCGGGGGUGGGCUGCGGGUAGACUUCCUUCCCAAGUGCACAGUGUGAAAAAGGAGGAAAAGAAGAGUAACUUCACAGGAGGGAAAUCUGGUAAUAACUACCUCGCCAGGUUGUCAAGGCCAGCAUCAACAGUCACAAGUCACAUGGCAGUGUGUACGCUUGAGAGUAUGUAAUGAAAUGACAUGUUAUCUCUGGGGUCUUCCUCCCAACAACCUGUAACCCUAGCUUGUUAGGAGAAAAACAUCAGACCAGAUAGAACAGUGGGGCAUCUGAAAAAAUAACUAAUGCACCUCAAAGCAGACAAGAGCAUCAAAAACAAGGAAAGUCUGAGAAACUGUCACAGCCCAAAGGAGCCUAAAGAGACAUAAUAACUAGAUGUAAUACGGUAUUACAGAUGGGAUCCUGCAACAGAGAAAAGACAUUGGGUUAAACAAACAAACAAACAAACAAAAACCCUAAGGAUUAAGGGUCUGCUGUUGCCCCUGCUACGACCCAGGUUUGAUCCCUGGCCCGGGAACUUCCAUAUUUCAAGGGCUCGGCCAAAAAAUAAAAAUAAAUAAAUAGUCAAUAAUAAUAAUUGGAGUUCCCACCUGUCAUGGCUCAGUGGCUAAGGAAACCAACUAGCACUCAUGAGGAUGCGGGUUUGAUCCCUGGCCUUGCUCAGCGGGUUAAGGAUCUGGCGUUGCUGUGAGCUGUGGUGUAGAUCGCAGACGAGGCUCAGAUGCCACAUUGCUGUGGCUGUGGCGUAGGCCGGCGGCUACAGCUCUGAUUCUACCCCUAGCUUGGGAACCUCCAUAUGCCACCAGCGUGGCCCUAAAAGACAAAAAGACUAAUAAUAAUAAUAAUAAUAAUUAAUUAAACAAACAAUGGACUUUAGUUAACAAUAAUAAAUCAAUAAAAAUUUCCACCAAUAAUUGCAAUAAAUUAAAACAAAUACACCAACAUAAGAUGUUACUAAUAGGGAAAACUGGAUGGGGAGAUAUAGGAACAUAUGGGAACUCUUUAAUAGCUUCUCAAUUUUUUUGUAAACCUAAAAUUGUUCUUAAAAAAAAAUGGUCUACUAAGAAAAGAAAUCCAUUAAAAUGUACCAAUCCAUAGAUUGUCGAUGUCACUGGUGUUCAGGAAAAUAAUGCUUGACACAGCACCUAACACCUUCUACGGGCCCAGCGAAUGUUGUGUUAUUAUAAUCAUCAUCAUUGUAAUUCUAGGACUUAGGAUAGCACAUGCAAAGGCACUGGAGUUUAGGGUGGAGCGGGAAAUGUGAGACAGAAUCCUGCGGGCUUUGACUGCUGCUGAGCUGGAAUCUUUCUAAGGGAUUUAGAGGGGAGGGCAACACAAUCUGGCCCUGCCUGACCAGCCUCCUGUCUGACGGCCUGGAAAGCUAUGCUUCAGCCAAAGUGAGCUGCCAUCUCAGGCCUGGCCCUUUCCCUUCCAUGGCUUUUGCUCAUGCUGUUCCCUCUGCCUGGGAUCCUUAGUUCUUUUCUGCCCAUCUCCCGUCUCUCUGGCGAACACCUGCUUACCAAGGUUCAGCUCAAACAUCACUUUCUCUGUGACGCUGUUCCAGGUCCUCUGCAUGGGGAGAGGCACUUUCCUCUGGUUCCCAAGAGCACCACACUGCCGACAGAGCACUUAUCAUGGUGCAUUAGAAUAAAUGUUUGCUGAAUGGGUGGACAAAUGAUGGGGUGAACAGUGAGCCCAUUCUCAUCCUCUCCCCUUCUUCAAAUCAUCCUUGUUCUCCUCCAGGAAGCCCUCCAUGACUGCUCCAAUCCAUUGAUCUCCUUCUUUCUUCUUAAAUUAAAAAAUUUUUUUUGUCCUGUUAAGGCUGCACCCACAGCACAUGAAGGUUCCCAGGCUAGGGGUUGAAUGGGAGCUGUAGCCGCUGGCCUACACCACAGCCACAGCAACGCCAGAUCUGAGCCGCAUCUGUGACCUACACCAUAGCUCACAGCAACACUGGAUCCUUAACCCCUGAGUGAGGCCAGGGAUGGAACCUGAGUCCUCAUGGAUACUAGUCAGAUUCGUUUCUGCUAAAUCAUGAUGGGAACUCCUUCUUCUUUCUUCUUUAAUUCUUACAAUUUAGCCCCUGAUUAUAUUCUAACUGGUGUGUAAGUAUCUCUCUUGGAUUAGAGUCAAGUCUCUGAGGAAGAAAACAUGUCUGACAUUUUUACUUUUUCAUUCAUUCAGCAGGUAUUUACGGAGCACCUGCUUCUGUGUUGCGGCCAGGGUCCAGGCUCUGGAGAGGCAGUAGCCAGCCCCUGCUCUGUUAGAGCAUUAGUUAGGAUAAACCAGACGAUGCUGCGGUAGCAAAGAACUCCAAGAACAUAACACAAAACCUCAGUGACGAGAGUCAUUUAUUUCUCAUGAGUGCCACAUGCUCACCCAGGGUCUUCUGCUCUAGUCAUUCAGAGACCUAGGCUGAGGGGUCCCUACCAUCUUGAAGUCACACCCACUGGAACAUGUGACCUUCUCAGUUGCCAUGGCAGAAGAGAGACUGGAGAGUCCUCCCCAUCCAUUGGCCAAAACUAGUCACGUGGUCCUACCUAACGGCAAGGGAGACUGGGAAGCAGAGUUCCUCUGUUAGGAGAAGAGAAGUGGUGUGCUCUUCUGUUGUCUGGUCCAGGAGACAGAAUUUAACAAAUAACCAAGCAAGUAAUUAAUUCGUCUCGCAAGAGCAUUAAAGAAAGGGUUAAAGGUGUCUAUGGGGUGGAUAAGAGAAGAUCAAGGAGAACUUUCUAGAAAAAGGGCCACUGAGCCAAGACCAGGGAAGGGAUGAAAGAAGAGCGUUUCUGGUAGAGGGAACAAUAUGUGAAGGUCCUGAGGCAAACGGGAACUUGCUACUUUCAAAGUCGGCCAGCUAAACAAUGGUGAUGGCUUGGACGGGGGGGGGGGGGGGGGGGGGGGGGGGGGGGGGGGAGGGAGGGAGGGAGGCACUAGCAGAGGUAGAAAAAGUGGACAAAUGUGGGACAUAUGAAGGACUUCACAUCAGCAGGGCUUGGUGACGAUAGAUGUGGGGAGUGAGGCAGCAAGAGGUGUCCAGGCGACUCCUGAGUGCUGUAACCCCAGCCUGGCAAGCAUAAGGCCAGCUUCAGAGCCUCGCGGCCCCAGCCUGUCGUCUUGAUGCCAAGAGAUUACCACCUUCCUCCCGUUGCCCUCACUCAAGCUAGCUGCCUCUUUAACCUCUGGCUGGAAUGCACCUCCCAUUAGAACUAAAAACAAUCUGAAGCAGCAACACAGACAUUUUCUUCCUGCCUUCUUCCUUCCUUCCUUCCUUUCUAUCUUUCUUUCUUUUCUUAGCUUUUUAGGGCCGCACCCAUGGCAUAUGGAAGUUCCCAUGCUAGGGGUCAAAUAGGAGAUGUAGCUGCUGGCCUACACCACAGCCACAGCAACACCAGAUCCUUAACUCACUGAGCAAGGCCAGGAGUCGAACCUGCAUCCUCAGGGAUACCAGUCCGAUUUGUUACUGCUGAGCCACAAUGGGAACUCCCAUAGGCAUUUUCUAAUUGCACCCCCACAGGACCCCUGGGAAUAUGGCUGGCGUGAUGUUACCCCAUCCCCACUUCACAGGUGGGAAAACUGAGGCCCCAAAAAGGAAAAUGGUUGGCUAAGUUUGGGGCCAGGCUUUCAGCUGAGGUCCUCCAACUCCUGGUCCAGAGCUCCAUUUGAUACAGUGCCUGGCACCUGGUGGGUGCUAUGUGGUAUUAGCUGAUUGAAUGAAUGAACGAGCAUGUGGGUUCUCUGCCCAUCCACCCUCUUCGCCUUGCUCAUUUUGUCUCCCUCAAGAAAGCCAUAGAGUUUAGAGAGAAUAGGUUCGGUUUAAGAAUUUAACGGAGGAGUUUCUGUCGUGGCGCAGUGGUUAACGAAUCCGACUAGGAACCAUGAGGCUGCCCUUGCUCAGUGGGUUAACGAUCCGUUGCGUUGCCGUGAGCUGUGGUGUAGGUUGCAGAUGCGGCUCGGAUCCCGCGUUGCUGUGGCUCUGGCGUAGGCCAAUGGCUACAGCUCCGAUUCGACCCCUAGCC